ensembl:rRNA 5S_rRNA 5S ribosomal RNA
GUCUAUGGUCAUACCACCCUGAACGUACCUUGUCUCGGAAGGUAAGCAGGGUUGGGCCUGGUUAGUACUUGGAUGGGAGACCACCUGGGAAUACCGGGUGCUGUAGGCU